UGGGGAAUAUUGGACAAUGGGCGCAAGCCUGAUCCAGCAAUGCCGCGUGAGUGAUGAAGGCCUUAGGGUUGUAAAGCUCUUUUACCCGGGAUGAUAAUGACAGUACCGGGAGAAUAAGCUCCGGCUAACUCCGUGCCAGCAGCCGCGGUAAUACGGAGGGAGCUAGCGUUAUUCGGAAUUACUGGGCGUAAAGCGCACGUAGGCGGCUUUGUAAGUAAGAGGUGAAAGCCCAGGGCUCAACUCUGGAAUUGCCUUUUAGACUGCAUCGCUUGAAUCAUGGAGAGGUCAGUGGAAUUCCGAGUGUAGAGGUGAAAUUCGUAGAUAUUCGGAAGAACACCAGUGGCGAAGGCGGCUGACUGGACAUGUAUUGACGCUGAGGUGCGAAAGCGUGGGGAGCAAACA
rnacentral:rRNA from 1 species